rnacentral:rRNA from 2 species
CGGAUAUUCUUUUUUACAUGGAUAACUGUGGUAAUUCUAGAGCUAAUACAUGAACAAGUGUUCCAACCUCAGCUUGCUGACGGAAGGAUCGCAUUUAUUAGUACAAGACCAAUGAUUCUUAUUCACCUAGAACCCUGUUCAGUGAUUUCGGUCGCUGUCUAAGGACUAGCAGUGGGGAUCUUAGCAACUUCGGUUGCAUUUCUUGUGAUGACUCUGAAUAACUGAGCAAAUCGUAUGGCCUCUGAGCCGACGAUGUAUCCCUCAAGCAACUGCCUUAUCAACUGUCGAUGGUAGGUUAUGCGCCUACCAUGGUUGUAACGGGUAACGGGGAAUUAGGGUUCGAUUCCGGAGAGGGAGCCUGAGAAACGGCUACCACAUCUAAGGAAGGCAGCAGGCGCGCAAAUUACACAAUCCCAGUACGGGGAUGUAGUGACGAAAAAUAACAAUACGGGACUCUAUUGAGGCCCCGUAAUUGGAAUGAGUACAAUUUAAAUCCUUUAACGAGGAUCUAUUGGAGGGCAAGUCUGGUGCCAGCAGCCGCGGUAAUUCCAGCUCCAAUAGCGUAUAUUAAAGUUGCUGCGGUUAAAAAGCUCGUAGUUGGAUUUCAGUCGAACCUAUGGGGUCCACUGAUUAAAGGGUUAGAUGGUGAUGUUAGGUUUCUUGCUUGUGUCUACGGAUGCUAGCUUGAACCUUCAUUCCUCUUUCCUGGUGGUUACAUUCAUAGUGUUUAGACAGAAAAUUGCUCGAUAUUUGCUAUCAAUGCUCUUUACCGAGUGUUGAUUCAAGCGAUCGAGACUUUUACCUUGAAAAAAUCAGAGUGCUCAAAGCAGGCGUCCAAAACCUCGAAAGAGGUGCCUAAAAACGGUAUGGUCAACCAUCUAUAUGAUGCGUACCACUACCUUAACUUGAAUGAUCUUGCAUGGAAUAAUGGAAUAGGACCUUGGUUCUAUUUUGUUGGUCUUAAGAAUCCAAGGUAAUGAUUAAGAGGGACAGACGGGGGCAUUUGUAUUGCGGCGCUAGAGGUGAAAUUCUUGGACCGUCGCAAGACAAACUACAGCGAAAGCAUUUGCCAAGAAUGUUUUCAUUAAUCAAGAACGAAAGUUAGAGGUUCGAAGGCGAUCAGAUACCGCCCUAGUUCUAACCAUAAACGAUGCCAACCAGCGAUCAUUCUGAGUAACUAAUUUCAUGACUCGAAUGGAAGCUUCCGGGAAACCAAAGUUUUUGGGUUCCGGGGGAAGUAUGGUUGCAAAGCUGAAACUUAAAGGAAUUGACGGAAGGGCACCACCAGGAGUGGAGCUUGCGGCUUAAUUUGACUCAACACGGGAAAACUCACCCGGCCCGGACACUGAGAGGAUUGACAGAUUGAGAGCUCUUUCUUGAUUCAGUGGGUGGUGGUGCAUGGCCGUUCUUAGUUGGUGGAGUGAUUUGUCUGGUUAAUUCCGAUAACGAACGAGACUCUAGCCUACUAAAUAGACUUGCAGUUUACACUGCAGUACUCCCCCUUAGUCAACCUGUGGGUGGUAGUAUCUCUUGAUGGUUUCGGCUGUUGAGGGCUCUGCUGCUAUUAGCCUGCAGAAUUGGCUAGGGUAAGGAUGCUGUAGCACUGUAAGGACUUCUUAGAGGGACAAGCGGCGCUCGCAGCCGCACGAAACAGAGCAAUAACAGGUCUGUGAUGCCCUUAGAUGUCCGGGGCCGCACGCGUGCUACACUGAAGUGGUCAUCGUGCAUACUGUUUCCUGCUCCGAAAGGAGUGGGUAACCGCUUGAACCCAUUUCGUGAUGGGGAUUGGGCAUUGUAAUUAUUGCCCAUGAACGAGGAAUUCCCAGUAAGCGUGAGUCAUUAGCUUGCGUUGAUUACG